CAACCAUCAAGCCCCCCGGGCUUGUGUUGGACGGUUUGGUGGAGGCCCCCUCGGGGGCUCCUGCCCCUCCCAAAGACAAUGACGGCGGCCUCGUUGGACCCCCGGUACACUGAGUUCUUCACGGGACACGUAUCGGACACAUGGGUUUACGGGACACGGUCUGCCUCCCCUCAGGGAGAAUCUUUCUAA
rnacentral:misc_RNA from 1 species